GACGAACGCUGGCGGCGUGCUUAACACAUGCAAGUCGAACGGAAAGGCCUCUUUCGGGGGGUACUCGAGUGGCGAACGGGUGAGUAACACGUGAGUAACCUGCCCUUGACUUUGGGAUAACUUCAGGAAACUGGGGCUAAUACCGGAUAGGAGCUCCUGCUGCAUGGUGGGGGUUGGAAAGUUUCGGCGGUUGGGGAUGGACUCGCGGCUUAUCAGCUUGUUGGUGGGGUAGUGGCUUACCAAGGCUUUGACGGGUAGCCGGCCUGAGAGGGUGACCGGCCACAUUGGGACUGAGAUACGGCCCAGACUCCUACGGGAGGCAGCAGUGGGGAAUAUUGCACAAUGGGUGGAAGCCUGAUGCAGCAACGCCGUGUGCGGGAUGACGGCCUCGGGUUGUUAAACCGCUUCGCUCAUGACGAAG
rnacentral:rRNA from 1 species